rnacentral:rRNA from 1 species
AACGGCCUACCAAGGCGACGAUCCAUAGCCGGCCUGAGAGGGUGAACGGCCACAUUGGGACUGAGACACGGCCCAGACUCCUACGGGAGGCAGCAGUGGGGAAUAUUGCACAAUGGGGGAAACCCUGAUGCAGCGACGCCGCGUGAAGGAAGAAGUAUCUCGGUAUGUAAACUUCUAUCAGCAGGGAAGAUAGUGACGGUACCUGACUAAGAAGCCCCGGCUAACUACGUGCCAGCAGCCGCGGUAAUACGUAGGGGGCAAGCGUUAUCCGGAUUUACUGGGUGUAAAGGGAGCGUAGACGGACUGGCAAGUCUGAUGUGAAAGGCGGGGGCUCAACCCCUGGACUGCAUUGGAAACUGUUAGUCUUGAGUGCCGGAGAGGUAAGCGGAAUUCCUAGUGUAGCGGUGAAAUGCGUAGAUAU